rnacentral:rRNA from 1 species
UACGUAGGGUGCAAGCGUUGUCCGGAAUUAUUGGGCGUAAAGAGCUCGUAGGCGGUCUGUCGCGUCGGCUGUGAAAACCCGGAGCUCAACUCCGGGCCUGCAGUCGAUACGGGCAGACUGGAGUUCGGCAGGGGAGACUGGAAUUCCUGGUGUAGCGGUGAAAUGCGCAGAUAUCAGGAGGAACACCGGUGGCGAAGGCGGGUCUCUGGACCGAUACUGACGCUGAGGAGCGAAAGCGUGGGGAGCGAACAGG